rnacentral:sRNA from 1 species
UUGGGAGUUAGGUGCCUAAAUACCUUUACCCUCAAAUCCAGGUUCAGGCCCAGAUAGGGUUAAUUCCAGUUUUCCACCAUGAGCCUAUCAAUCUAACCUGACCUGGAGGAACCACCUCUAUGAAUGUGAGGGUAGUCCAGUCUCCAUGCUUAUUCAGCAUUAGCCUCU